AACUCCCCCACUUCUAAACCUGUUUCAUGUGCAAUCAGAUGUGUCUCCGAAUGCCGCGUAGAUGAUGUAUGGGAGUCAGACUAUACGAGAUAAGUUGGAUAGUCGAAAGGGAAAGAGCCCAGACCACCGGCUAAGGUCCCAAAAUGUGUGUUAAGUGGAAAAGGAUGUGGGAUUUCGAAGACAACUAGGAUGUUGGCUUAGAAGCAGCCAUACAUUCAAAGAGUGCGUAAUAGCUCACUAGUCGAGAGGUCCUGCGCCGAAAAUGUCCGGGGCUGAAACACACUACCGAAGCCGUGGAAUUGGUGAAUGCCAAUUGGUAGAGGAGCAUUCUUAAAGAGAAGAAGCUGUACCGGAAGGAGCAGUGGAUUUUUAAGAAGAGAGAAUGCCGGAAUGAGUAGCGAGAGGAAGGUGAGAAUCCUUCCGGCCGAAUAUCUAAGGUUUCCAGAGUAAAGCUGAUCUGCUCUGGGUAAGUCGGGGCCUAAGGCGAGGUCGAAAGACGUAGUCGAUGGAUAACAGGUUGAAAUUCCUGUACUAUGAUAUAACAGAACUGUGGGGACACGUAAGGAAAGCACAAUCCGGGAAUGGAAAGACCGGAGUAAGCGGGGUAGGAGUUCAGAAGGCAAAUCCGCUGAACAAUCCGAAGACGUGAUACGGACCGAAAAGAAGUAGGGAAGUGUGUGAGCCAUGCGUCAAGAAAAGCCGCUAUUGUUUGUAUCAUACCCGUACCGUAAACCGACACAGGUGGAUGAGGAGAGAAUCCUAAGGCCGACGGGAGAAGCAUUGUUAAGGAACUCGGCAAAAUGACUCCGUAACUUCGGGAGAAGGAGUGCCAUAGAAAUAUGGCCGCAGAGAAUUGGCCCAAGCAACUGUUUAGCAAAAACACAGGUCUAUGCAAAACCGAAAGGUGAAGUAUAUGGGCUGACGCCUGCCCGGUGCUGGAAGGUUAAGGGGAGAGGUUAGCGCAAGCGAAGCUUUGAACUUAAGCCCCAGUAAACGGCGGCCGUAACUAUAACGGUCCUAAGGUAGCGAAAUUCCUUGUCGGGUAAGUUCCGACCCGCACGAAAGGCGUAAUGAUUUGGGCACUGUCUCAACAAUGCACCCGGUGAAAUUGAAAUACCAGUGAAGAUGCUGGUUACCUGCGCCAGGACGGAAAGACCCCAUGGAGCUUUACUCCAGCUUGAUACUGGGAUUCGGUAUUGUAUGUACAGGAUAGGUGGGAGACUAAGAAGCAUUUACGCCAGUAGAUGCAGAGUCGCUGUUGGGAUACCACCCUUGCAGUACUGGAUUUCUAACCAGCGGCCUUAAGCAGGUCGGGGGACAAUGUCAGGUGGGGAGUUUGACUGGGGCGGUCGCCUCCGAAAGGGUAUCGGAGGCGCUCAAAGGUUCCCUCAGAAUGGUCGGAAACCAUUCGAAGAGUGCAAAGGCAGAAGGGAGCUUGACUGCGACACUGACGGGUGGAGCAGGUACGAAAGUAGGACUUAGUGAUCCGGUGGUAUAAAGUGGGAUUGCCAUCGCUCAACGGAUAAAAGCUACCCUGGGGAUAACAGGCUUAUCACUCCCAAGAGUUCACAUCGACGGAGUGGUUUGGCACCUCGAUGUCGGCUCAUCGCAUCCUGGGGCUGAAGUAGGUCCCAAGGGUUGGGCUGUUCGCCCAUUAAAGCGGUACGCGAGCUGGGUUCAGAACGUCGUGAGACAGUUCGGUCCCUAUCCGGCGUGGGCGUAGGAUAUUUGAGAGGAGCUGCCCUUAGUACGAGAGGACCGGGGUGGACUGGCCGCUGGUGUAUCUGUUGUUCUACCAAGAGCAUGGCAGAGUAGCCAAGCCGGGAAGGGAUAAACGCUGAAGGCAUCUAAGCGUGAAGCCCCCCUCAAGAUGAGAUAUCCCAUAACGUCAAGUUAGUAAGACCCCUUGAAGACAACGAGGUAGAUAGGGCAGAGGUGGAAGUGUGGCAACACAUGGAGCUGACUGUUACUAAUCGGUCGAGGGCAUAACCAG
rnacentral:rRNA from 1 species